GCACUGCUGAUGAGCCCCAACAAGAGCGAAACUCGAUUCCAGUGC
rnacentral:hammerhead_ribozyme from 1 species